UACGAAGGGGGCUAGCGUUGUUCGGAUUUACUGGGCGUAAAGCGCACGUAGGCGGUUUGUUAAGUGAGAGGUGAAAUCCCAGAGCUCAACUCUGGAACUGCCUUUCAUACUGGCAAGCUAGAGUCCGGAAGAGGUAAGUGGAACUCCUAGUGUAGAGGUGGAAUCGUAGAUAUUAGGAAGAACACCAGUGGCGAAGGCGGCGUUACUGGUCC
rnacentral:rRNA from 1 species